AUCAUCUGUUUCUUAAAUAUUUAUUGAAUUUGACUUUUAAGUGAAAAGGCUUAAAUAAAACAAAAAGACGAUAAGACCCUAUAAAUCUUUACAAUAAAUAUAUUUUAUAUUUUAGCUUAUAAGUGUAUAAGAAAUAAAAAUAUAGGUUUGUUGCGCUGGGGCGGCGUAGAUAUAUAAAUAAACUGUCUAUAAUUUAAAUACAAUAAUCAUUGCUUAAUACAAAUUGAUCCUUAAAUAGAUUAAAAGAUUAAGAUACUUUAGGGAUAACAGCGUUAUUUUUUUUGAGAGUUCUUAUCGAAGAAAAAGUUUGCGACCUCGAUGUUGAAUUAAAGUAUCUCUAUGGUGUAGCCGCUAUAAGAGAGAGUCUGUUCGACUUUUAAUACUUUA
rnacentral:rRNA from 1 species